rnacentral:rRNA from 1 species
CAGUCGCCGCGGUAAUACGUAGGUGGCAAGCGUUGUCCGGAAUUAUUGGGCGUAAAGCGCGCGCAGGCGGAUAGGUCAGUCUGUCUUAAAAGUUCGGGGCUUAACCCCGUGAUGGGAUGGAAACUGCCAAUCUAGAGUACCGGAGAGGAAAGUGGAAUUCCUAGUGUAGCGGUGAAAUGCGUAGAUAUUAGGAAGAACACCAGUGGCGAAGGCGACUUUCUGGACGAAAACUGACGCUGAGGCGCGAAAGCCAGGGGAGCGAACGGGAUUAGAUACCCCUGUAGUCCCUGUCUCUUAUACA